CACCGCGGUUAUACGAAAGACCCUAGUUGAUAGCCACGGCGUAAGGGGUGGUUAAGGAAAUUUCUAAAUAAAGUUAAAGGGCUUCCAAGCCGUCGCACGCACCCUGAAAGCUCGAAAUCCAAGCACGAAAGUAACUUUAAAGCUUAAUUUUACCUGACCCCACGAAAGCUAAGAAA
rnacentral:rRNA from 1 species